AUGUGUCAUUGAAUCGAUUGGACAAUGACAUCAAAAUUAGGUCAAAAGCUAACUUUCAUUAUAGUGUUCUAUGAUGAUAUAAUUAUAUUAAAAAUCUCUAAACAGAGAGGGUAUAUUUUAGAAAUUUGAAAAAACAUUAUUUGUAUAGUUUUAAUACCACGAAUGAUAAGUUAUGAUUUUCUACGGGCUUUCAGAAUAUUAUCACUACUGAUAUUUAUAAAGUAAGUACCGGAUCACAUAUUUGCAAGAGUUGAGAACUGUCUAAAUACGAAUUUUAUGUAUCAGCUUAUUUUGGAAGCAGUGUGGAUUGAUCAAGUUUUUGCGCUCACAACUUACGAACGGGAGCUAAUGAAUGUGCUAAUGCGAUACUUACCUAAGCAGGUGCAGUGGAAGUAAGCGCGAUAAGGCGUUUAAAAUGUAAAACGUCGACCGCCAACUACUUCGCUACGUCCACAUUCUGUUGACCUGUUUUGCGCUUAUACUAAGUUAAUUAAUGUUGUCCAAAUACUCAGAGAUAAUAAUAAUAAUGGCUACCACUGACUGCCCUACGAUUCGUGUAUUGGUGAGUUCUGCAAACAUGGAAAGUAAUCGACUCAGGCUUCAUAUUCAACACUACAAAUGUAUGUAUGUAUAUAUGUAAGAACAAUGAUUGCGUGUGCACAUACACAUAUACGUAUAUAUGUAUAUAAUUAUUAUAUAGAUAUAUUUAUAUUGCAUGUUACUGUCUUCAUUAUUUGGUAAAUAGUUUACAUAAUUAAUUAUAUUUGUACUAAUGUCAAUAAUAUAUAUAUUCCUAGAUACUGAUAAACUGCUAGUAACAAUUACAUAACAAUAACGAUACGCUUUUAUUGAUAUGUAUAUAUGUAUGUAUAUAUAUAAAUAUAUAUAACUUAUAGUAUGUCUGUAUGUCUAUCACAAAUUACGCAAUAUUCUACCUAAUACCCAUGUUGAAUUCGUAUAAAAACGAAAGUUGUCUUAAUAUAAUAAUUAAGUAUUCUCACUUCGAAUUGUGUAGGGUUGUCAAGAAUUAUGUAACGUUAAUGUCCUAAUAAAUCAUUCAAAUUCAAUCAA